rnacentral:rRNA from 1 species
GGUUAAGCGACUAAGCGUACACGGUGGAUGCCCUGGCAGUCAGAGGCGAUGAAGGACGUGCUAAUCUGCGAUAAGCGUCGGUAAGGUGAUAUGAACCGUUAUAACCGGCGAUUUCCGAAUGGGGAAACCCAGUGCAAUUCGUUGCACUAUCAUUACGUGAAUACAUAGCGUAAUGAAGCGAACCGGGGGAACUGAAACAUCUAAGUACCCCGAGGAAAAGAAAUCAACCGAGAUUCCCCCAGUAGCGGCGAGCGAACGGGGAGCAGCCCAGAGUCUGAAUCAGCGUGUGUGUUAGUGGAACGGUCUGGAAAGUCCGACGGUACAGGGUGAUAGUCCCGUACACCAAAACACACAGGUUGUGAACUCGAAGAGUAGGGCGGGACACGUGGUAUCCUGUCUGAAUAUGGGGGGACCAUCCUCCAAGGCUAAAUACUCCUGACUGACCGAUAGUGAACCAGUACCGUGAGGGAAAGGCGAAAAGAACCCCGGCGAGGGGAGUGAAAAAGAACCUGAAACCGUGUACGUACAAGCAGUGGGAGCCUCUUUAUGGGGUGACUGCGUACCUUUUGUAUAAUGGGUCAGCGACUUAUAUUCUGUAGCAAGGUUAACCGAAUAGGGGAGCCGAAGGGAAACCGAGUCUUAACUGGGCGUUAAGUUGCAGGGUAUAGACCCGAAACCCGGUGAUCUAGCCAUGGGCAGGUUGAAGGUUGGGUAACACUAACUGGAGGACCGAACCGACUAAUGUUGAAAAAUUAGCGGAUGACUUGUGGCUGGGGGUGAAAGGCCAAUCAAACCGGGAGAUAGCUGGUUCUCCCCGAAAGCUAUUUAGGUAGCGCCUCGUGAAUUCAUCUUCGGGGGUAGAGCACUGUUUCGGCUAGGGGGUCAUCCCGACUUACCAACCCGAUGCAAACUGCGAAUACCGAAGAAUGUUAUCACGGGAGACACACGGCGGGUGCUAACGUCCGUCGUGAAGAGGGAAACAACCCAGACCGCCAGCUAAGGUCCCAAAGUCAUGGUUAAGUGGGAAACGAUGUGGGAAGGCACAGACAGCCAGGAUGUUGGCUUAGAAGCAGCCAUCAUUUAAAGAAAGCGUAAUAGCUCACUGGUCGAGUCGGCCUGCGCGGAAGAUGUAACGGGGCUAAACCAUGCACCGAAGCUGCGGCAGCGACACUAUGUGUUGUUGGGUAGGGGAGCGUUCUGUAAGCCGUUGAAGGUGUGCUGUGAGGCAUGCUGGAGGUAUCAGAAGUGCGAAUGCUGACAUAAGUAACGAUAAUGCGGGUGAAAAACCCGCACGCCGGAAGACCAAGGGUUCCUGUCCAACGUUAAUCGGGGCAGGGUGAGUCGACCCCUAAGGCGAGGCCGAAAGGCGUAGUCGAUGGGAAACAGGUUAAUAUUCCUGUACUUGGUGUUACUGCGAAGGGGGGACGGAGAAGGCUAUGUUGGCCGGGCGACGGUUGUCCCGGUUUAAGCGUGUAGGUGUGUGUUCCAGGUAAAUCCGGAAUGCUUUAACACUGAGGCGUGAUGACGAGGCACUACGGUGCUGAAGUGACAAAUGCCCUGCUUCCAGGAAAAGCCUCUAAGCAUCAGGUAACAUCAAAUCGUACCCCAAACCGACACAGGUGGUCAGGUAGAGAAUACCAAGGCGCUUGAGAGAACUCGGGUGAAGGAACUAGGCAAAAUGGUGCCGUAACUUCGGGAGAAGGCACGCUGAUAUGUAGGUGAAGUGAUUUACUCAUGGAGCUGAAAUCAGUCGAAGAUACCAGCUGGCUGCAACUGUUUAUUAAAAACACAGCACUGUGCAAACACGAAAGUGGACGUAUACGGUGUGACGCCUGCCCGGUGCCGGAAGGUUAAUUGAUGGGGUUAUCCGUAAGGAGAAGCUCUUGAUCGAAGCCCCGGUAAACGGCGGCCGUAACUAUAACGGUCCUAAGGUAGCGAAAUUCCUUGUCGGGUAAGUUCCGACCUGCACGAAUGGCGUAAUGAUGGCCAGGCUGUCUCCACCCGAGACUCAGUGAAAUUGAACUCGCUGUGAAGAUGCAGUGUACCCGCGGCAAGACGGAAAGACCCCGUGAACCUUUACUAUAGCUUGACACUGAACACUGGUCCUUGAUGUGUAGGAUAGGUGGGAGGCUUUGAAGUGUGGACGCCAGUCUGCAUGGAGCCGACCUUGAAAUACCACCCUUUAAUGGCUGGUGUUCUAACGUGGGCCCGUGAUCCGGGUUGCGGACAGUGUCUGGUGGGUAGUUUGACUGGGGCGGUCUCCUCCCAAAGAGUAACGGAGGAGCACGAAGGUUAGCUAAUCCUGGUCGGACAUCAGGAGGUUAGUGCAAAGGCAUAAGCUAGCUUGACUGCGAGAGUGACGGCUCGAGCAGGUGCGAAAGCAGGUCUUAGUGAUCCGGUGGUUCUGAAUGGAAGGGCCAUCGCUCAACGGAUAAAAGGUACUCCGGGGAUAACAGGCUGAUACCGCCCAAGAGUUCAUAUCGACGGCGGUGUUUGGCACCUCGAUGUCGGCUCAUCACAUCCUGGGGCUGAAGUAGGUCCCAAGGGUAUGGCUGUUCGCCAUUUAAAGUGGUACGCGAGCUGGGUUUAGAACGUCGUGAGACAGUUCGGUCCCUAUCUGCCGUGGGCGCUGGAGAAUUGAGGGGGGCUGCUCCUAGUACGAGAGGACCGGAGUGGACGCAUCACUGGUGUUCGGGUUGUCAUGCCAAUGGCACUGCCCGGUAGCUAAAUGCGGAAGAGAUAAGUGCUGAAAGCAUCUAAGCACGAAACUUGCCCCGAGAUGAGUUCUCCCUGACCCUUUAAGGGUCCUGAAGGAACGUUGAAGACUAUGACGUUGAUAGGCCGGGUGUGUAAGCGCAGCGAUGCGUUGAGCUAACCGGUACUAAUGAACCGUGAGGCUUAACCUU